CAGUGUUUUGUUUUGUUGCUGAGGCAAUUGGGGUUAAGUGACUUGCCUAGAGUCACACAGCUAGGAAGUGUUAAGCGUCUGAGACCAGAUUUGAACGCAGGUCUUUUUGACUUAAGGGCUGGUGCUCUCUAUCCACUGCACCACCUAUCUCCCCUGAGCAUAGUGUUUUCUUGGGAGAACAUACCAGCAAAUAAGGUGAUCGUCAUAAUAUAAUAAUAAUAUUUAUAAUAAUAACAAGAACAGGGCUUCUUAAAUUUUUUCCACUCAAGACUUUUUUUGCCUGAAGAAUUUUUAUGUGACCCCUGGUAUGUAGGGAUAUACUACACAUCAAACAUUUAAAUCAUAAUUUCACAACCCCGGCAUUAGUUAAGAGAUCUUGAGCCACAGUUUAAGAAUCUGACUUAUAGGGGGUAGUACUUGAGCUGAGCAUUGUCAUUCCAUCAGCAAACAUUUAAAGCCUGCUGUGUACUAGGCAUUAUGCCAAGUAAAUUCUAGGGAUACAAAAAAGCUAGCAGCAGAAUGCUAGGGAUUCUAAAAGUAAAUUGUGGAAGGAGUGAACUUGGGGGUGGACAGCUUGUCCAAAAAUACAUGUUGGGGAAAUGAGAUGUCAUAUAAAGGAAACCUUACCCAAGUCAAUUUGGCUAGAAUGUAGAAUUUGAGAGUACAAAGGUUAAAUAGUUUGUAAACCAAUUGUGAAGAGUUUUAAAAGCCAAGGAAGAAUUUUCUUUAAUCCAAGGGGCAGGAAGAUACUACUGGCACUUUUUCAGCGAGAAGAUGACAUAGUCAGACCUAUGUUUUAGUAAUAUCAAUUUGGCAACUGUAUAGUAGAUAAUUUAGAAAGGAGAGAGGCUAGAGGCAGGCAUUUAGGAAGCUAUAGUCCAAAUUAGAAAUAACUUGAAUUGGAAUGAUGUCUAUAUUAGUAGAAAGAAGAGGAAAGAUGCAAGAUAUAUUUUGAAGGUAGAAUUGACAAUAUGAGGGAAAAUGGAGGGUUGCAGAUAAACUACUAGGUAUGUAUACUUGAAUAACUAGAAGAAUGGUGCCUUCAACAAAAAAAGGAUGGACAACUAUGAUUACAUAAAAUUUUAUUUAAAAGUUUUGCACUAACAAAAUCAAUGCCACUGAAAUUGAAUGGGAAAUGAGGGAAAAGAUUGUUGCAACAAGUUUUUCUGAUGCAGAUUUCAUUUCUAAGGUAUAUUGAAAAUCAAUUCACAUUUACAAAAAUAAAAGCCAUUUCCCAAUUGAUAAAUUGUCAAAGGUCAAAAUGGUCAAAAACUACCUAUAUGAAUAAGCAGAGAAAAAUCCAAGCUAUCAAUAGCCAUAUGAAAAAAUGUUUGAAACCACUAGUAAUUAGAAAACUACAACUUAAAAUAACAUUGACAUACUGUUUCAUACAUAUCAGAAUGGCAAGAUGAACAAAAAAAAGUGAAAAAUAAUGGAAGACUAUGGGAAAACAUAUGUUAAUGCCCUGUUGAUGGCAUAAGAACUGGUCUGACUAUUCUGGAAAGCAAUUUAGACACAAUGCCCAAAAAGUUAUUAAAGUAUAUAUACUCUAGGUAAAGCAGUAGAUAGACACUCACCUUCAAAUCAGACAUCAGACACUAAAUAAGUAACUCUGGACAAGUCACUCAACCCUAUUUGCCUCAGUUUCCUUAUCUGUAAAAUGAGCUGCAGAAGAAAACAGCAAACCCAUUCUAGUAUCUGUGCCAAGAAAAUCCCAAGUGAGGUCAUAGAGUCAGACAAGUGAAACAACUGAAUAAUGAUACCCCUUUAACUUAAUUUUUCUGCUUAGUAGAUCUAUACUCCCAUAGAAAUCAGAGAAAAAGGAAAAGACCCAUAUGUACAAAAAUAAAGCAGUUCCUUUUUGUGGUAGCAAAGAAUUGGAAAUUGAUAAGGAGGACAGGAAUGAGAACCUUUCAAAAGAGAAACAAUUAAAUGUUGGUAUAUUUUUGUGAUAGGGUACUUGUAGUGAAAUGAAAUGGGGAUAUGAAAUGAAGGGGAUAGUUUUAGAAAAAUCUGGGAAGACUUGUUUGAACUGAUACACAGCAAUUUGAAUAUAACAAUGGGAACAAUUUAUGUAAUAAUCAUAUUGUAAAUAUGCACAACUUUGAAAGACUUGAGAAUUCUGAUCAAUGCAAAGGAACUAAUCACAGUCCCAAAGAAUUCGUUAUGAAACAUGCUAAACCUUUCCGAGAGAGAAUUGGUGGAUUUUGAGUGCAUAUUGUAUUGUUUUAUUAAUGUUAACUACUGUAGGGCAAUAGUUAAUGUGGGAAUUUGUUUUGUUUAAUAUACGUCUUUGUAAGUGGAUUUGUUUUUGUUUUUGUUUUCCUCAGUGGAAUAAGGGAAGGAAAGUCAGGGGAUUGAGAGAAUUUGGAAUUGAAAAUAAAUUUGGAUUAAAAAACAAUAGGAACUUUAGGAAGAGAGGCAAAAGCCAGAAGACUACAUAGAACCAUUAGAGAAAGAGAACUGUUUGGAAAAGUAAAGACUCGGACUCAGAGUCGCAAUGGCCUGAUGCAGGAAUACUCCUAGCAAGACACAGCCAACAAAGCAGAUCUUUCUUCUGCAGAAGACUGAAUCUGAAAAAGCCAUCAUGCUGGAUAUAAUUGAAAAGAAAAGCAAGUCAAAGAGCAUGACUUAAGUUUCUGCUACAAACCAGGCAAACACUAAAUUGUUCUGACAGAAGCUACCCUCUGCAAUGUCACCUGCAGGAAAUAGGGCUGGAAACAUAUCCCCAAAGAUCCCUAGAAUAGUAAGCCUGAAGUCAUCACCAUUUGCUUAUGAGCCCCUUCUACCUGGACUGGGGAUUUCUUUUCUUUUUUAAUUAAUUGUUUUAUUUUGUCUGGCCAUAUGUGUAUAUUAACUUUUUUAAAUACACAUUUCUUCAUGUAUCAUGUUGGGAGAGAAAAAUCAGAACAAAAGGGAAAAACCAUGGAAAAGAAGGAAAAAAAAAACAGAAAAAAGAAGUGAAUAUAGUGAAAUUACAUUCGGUUAACAAUGGUUUUCACUUGUUUAAAAGAAACUUUUCUUCUGUUAUCUUCAUUCCUGAGGAAAAUGUAGUCAUUCUACUAAAGGCACCUUCACCAAGUAACAAAAGACAUACCAGG
rnacentral:lncRNA from 1 species